rnacentral:lncRNA from 1 species
CAAAGGGAAUCAUGAAUGGAACGUGACUCCCGUGUGUCAAGCACAGUCUGGAACUAGAAAGAAUACAGUGAUAUAUGGUGUUGUAUCUGUCGUAGUGGUAAUGAUUUUGGCACUAACCGCAGGAAUCUGUUACUGCAAGUUUAUAAGGUAGGUAACGAAAGUAGCAUAUCUUGCAAGUUUAAAAGUAGGUUGAUAUGAAAGUAGCAUAUCCAUGAACUUGGUUACUGCAAGUUUAAAAAAUAUGUAAAUGAUGUAGCAUGUUCAUGAAAUCGGUUAUUGCAAGUUUAAAGAGAACGUAGCGAAAGUACUCGUUUACUGCAAGUUUAAAUAUUAGCAUAUUCAUUACAGGAUUUAACUUUUUCUGCUGUUCAUGCAUGUGUAAGCCUUGCCAAAUAAUCCACAAAUUAAAGAAAUCCCCUUUCGGGUUCGAAGUUAGAUGUGUUGUGCAUUUUAUAGCUGGUUUUUAAUGGGAAUGUCCACAUUAUAAUUGACCAUUAACCCAUUUCAGAAAUUCUUUUUUCAGCUUUUAAUAAUUUUACUCUUAUCACAAUUUCGAACGCUUUGAAAGGAACUGAUCGAAGUGAGAAAUUGAAAGCUCACACUUGAAUGUUUUGUUUAGAGAUUAGUAACUGUUAUCACCGUUAUCUAACUUGAUCGACUGCUUUCUGACUCUGUCAAGAUGCAGCACUAUAUCCGCAAGUUCCACAAUUGCUUAAAAACAUAUGUUAACAUCAGACAGGUCAGCCAGUUGGUUUUUUUUUUUCAAAUUUCCUGUCGUAAUAUAUUUGAAUUUUCAACGCAAUUGAGACAAUUCCAAUUUUUCAACACUAAAAAGCGUACGAGUAUAGACAUUUGAUAUAUAUUUAUAAAUAUUUAGUGAAUUUGAUGUUCAGUUAUAUUGUGAGACCAUUCAAACAUUUUCUAAAUUGCAUAUCAUACGAAUAAGACUACGAAAUCAGAAGUCAACAGACGGUCACAGUAUUCAAUUAACAAAUAAUGAAGUAGCAGAUGGCAGUGAUGACGCUGACAAUAUAAUACGAGUUGAUGUACGAUACAAACUAUGUUUACCGCAGUGAAGUGUAAUACAGUGAAUGG